rnacentral:rRNA from 1 species
UACGUAGGGUGCGAGCGUUAAUCGGAAUAACUGGGCGUAAAGGGUGAGUAGGCGGAUAAUUAAGUUAGGAGUAAAAUCCCUGGGCUCAACCUAGGAAGGUCUCAUAAAACUGGUUAUCUAGAGAUUGUUAGAGGCUGGGGGAAUUUCUGGUGUAGCAGUGAAAUGCGUAGAUAUCAGAAGGAAUACCGAUGGCGAAGGCAUCCAGCUGGGAUAGAACUGACGCUGAGUCACUAAAGCGUGGGUAGCAAACAGG